CCAAAGUCUUGGACUUUCGAGGGAUCUCAAAGAUGAGGAUGCGUUGUAUUGGAGGAUCACCCACUGUCUUCCGGGGGCUUCAGGACCCAAGGCACAUUUCUGACAUUCUUAGAUUCUGGAGAUCUCGAACUCUCCUUUUAGCCAAGUCUGUCCACGAACUCCCUCCCCGGCCUGCUAGCAAGUCAGAGGCGCUCGAUUCAACGAAGGCUUCGGCAGGUCCGAUGAGAAAGGAGUAGUUUACCUCCUCUCCAUCUUGGGGAGCAGGACAAAGGAGUGACCCAAACACACCCCUAACAGCCCAGCACUAGGUCCUGCGCCCGCUGCAGACCCAACCCCAGCCCCUUGCCCUGCUCUUGCCCAAAGCUCCGGGUCCUGACCCCGCGCUCCAGACUAAGAGCUGGGCUGGCCGCGCAGCAAGCCUCCCCCGCGCGCUGCUGACUCAACCCGGGGAAGAGAAACCUCCCGGUUUUUUCCGACCUGUCGUCGGGCGCCCGCGUCCUGCCCCGCCCACCAUCCAAGCCCCCGCCCCGCCUAAAGUUGCCCUGGUUUGCGCCCGCGGGACGCGUCGGCGUGACUCCCCGGGGUGUGGCCAGAGGACUUGGGCAACGCCUUCCCGAAAAGCGGCCCCCUCCGCAGCCCGGAAAAUCAAGACCCCGCGCGGCGGCGACCGGACAUGCUCACUGGCGCGGGUCGGGGCCUCAGCCCCGGCAGGAAGCGCCCGCGCUAGGCGGUCCCCCGUGCUGCCAGCUGGAGUCGGGCGGAGCCGGCGCUCCAGCGCAGGGUGGCUCUGCCAGUCCCCGCGCGCCUGGGCGGCCGCACACGUAUCCAAGCGUCACGUCCGCGCGCGCCCCCGGGGCUUGCGUCAGCUGCCGCUCCAGGAGCGAGUGGGCCGUGGUUCUGCGCACCGCUCGGCUUCGGGUCCGCGACGCCUCCGGGAGGAGGAGUCUGGGGGCGCGGAGGGGUGUUCGGAGCGCCGGGGACCGCGGAGAUCGUCAGCGCGGUUCGGCCCCCCCCCCCCCACGCCUGCCCGGCGCCGACCGCCUCCGCUGCUCGGUCCCGGGCUGGGCGCGGUGGCGUUGCCCAGGAGCCCGCCGCCCGCGGGGCGCGCACCGCCUUGACCCCGGCGGCCCCGCGGCAGGCAGGCGCCCGCAGUUC
rnacentral:lncRNA from 1 species